rnacentral:rRNA from 1 species
AGCGAGCGCUGGCGGCAGGCUUAAUACAUGCAAGUCGAGCGCCUGUAGCAAUACAGGAGCGGCAGACGGGAGAGUAACACGUGGGAACGUGCCCUUUAGUUCGGAACAACCCAGGGAAACUUGGGCUAAUACCGGAUACGCCCUUACGGGGAAAGAUUUAUCGCUAAAGGAUCGGCCCGCGUAUGAUUAGCUAGUUGGUGGGGUAAUGGCCCACCAAGGCGACGAUCAGGAGCUGGUCUGAGAGGAUGAUCAGCCUCAUUGGGACUGAGACACGGCCCGAACUCCUACGGGAGGCAGCAGUAGGGAAUAUUGGACAAUGGGGGCAACCCUGAUCCAGCCAUGCCGCGUGAGUGAUGAAGGCCUUAGGGUUGUAAAGCUCUUUCGGCGGGGAAGAUAAUGACGGUACCCGCAUAAGAAGCCCCGGCUAACUUCGUGCCAGCCGCCGCAGUAA